ensembl:lncRNA
UGUUAGUCUGCAACCAUUUUGCAUAUCAUUAACUACAUUGAAACUUACCUCAAACACCUCCGUUAUUGUUAUUUGUAAUACAAUUCGUCCCCCUUUGUUUGUCUAAUGUGGGAUAUUACAUUUUUUUGUAAACUGUGUAAAGUUAUUGUUGUGUUUCUGGGCCAGCCGGAUAUGUGUACGUGAAUCGACAGCGCACGGACAGAGAUGCGAAGAAUGCUCGGAAUGAGAACAGGAAUGAAAUGAACGCGAAGAGCGAGUUUGCUUUGGGGCGGAGCAAAGGUGGCGUCAUCCCGAUCCUAACAGCCCUAGAUAGGAGGGACAAGGCGGAAAAAAACAAGCAGAAUGAUCUCACAGGACACGUCGAAUUCAAAUUGGUGGGAGAAAGAAGAGGGAAUUUCUUUGUGGAGGUGGUGUCUGUUCCCUCAAUACCAACCUAUUAACCAUCAAAAGGGAGUCUUAUCUAUGCAAAUGCAGCAAGCCCUGGAGGAACAAACCCUGCUAGCACAGCACAUGUGACACCACACCAACACCUGAGUACAGUCACAGCGGUGAUUCAUUCACAGCCAUGGGGUCAUCUGUCGACAGUGUUUCACAAGCUCCUUGUUAAAUAUUAGCCCUGCAUAUCCAGGAAGCCCACCGGCGGAUCCCAGCAUAAUGGCAAACUGUAAAAUGGUUCAUAGCCUUACAUCAGAGCCUGUUCUCGUUGCCUUAUCGGGCACAUGAGUCUCCUGGCAGAUUGCAUCCAGGAAAUGUGGCCAUAAGAAAAUGUGUGUGUAUGUGUGUGUACGUGUGUGUACCCAGUUGGGAAUUAUUUGACAAGGUACAAUAUUGAACCAACACUCAUUUCAGUGUAGAAUGUGUUGUUAUUCCUUCCUAUGUGUAGGUGAACAAGUUAAACUGAGUUAAUAGUAUGCAUUUCAAUAGAUAUUACAUGUCAUAAUGAAGCCAUAAAAGUGUUAUCUGACAGCAUGGGAACCCAUGUGCGCGUGUGAAAACGUAACAUCUGAAAUUCUCGUGCCUCUCCGCUGGCAAAUUACACCAAGACUAAUCAUUGAAUCUGUGUGCAUCUUUGCAAAGGAUCACUGCAUGUGGUGAGGGGAGAAGACAGUGCUCAACACGGCUGAACUGUUUACCCCAAAACAGACAUUGCAGGUUUCUGUCCCCACCCCUCUAUCCACACACGGCCUUCAAACUCUUUUAUGACUGGGUGUGGCCACAGAGCAAUAAGAGUGGGGGUGGAAUAAGGGAGGACAGAAAUCUCACAGCAAGGAUUUUAGUGGGGAGGGCAAUCCCAUAAUUCAGGGACAAUUGAUGGAACCAAACAGAUAUGCCUAAUAUAAUUGUAAUUGUAUCAACAGAAAUCUAUUGGUAUUUGAGCAGUGGACAUCAUUAUCCUGUUAGAUUCUAUUUAGCCCUAAUUUGUAAUAAAUAUGUAUUUGUUCACAGAUCAUUGUUUUUAACAAUGACAUCUUACAAGUUUAAAAUAUAAACUUUAACAGGACACUUUUUUAAAUGACACGUUUCUCAUUCAGUGUUAAUUACAUAGGUCUUACCCCAGAUAUGGAUUUGCGUUCUACAGUACCAUUUGUCACUACAGAAGCAUCCAGGGAUAGCUGCCUGCUGCCUGACACCUGGGCAGAUAAGGCCCUAAAGGUCUGGUGUGGCAGGGCUUUGAACUGGAGCCUUCUGGAGCCUCUGCUCCAGGGGAGGCCUGGGGUGCUGCUGGUUGAGGAGGAUGGGGAGAUGUUGGGGGGAGAGGUGAACCGGCUGCCCUGCCCUCCGACCACUCCUAAUCAGACGACCCUGGGAGGCCAGGUGCAGAUCGUCACUGGCUUUCUGCUCUGACGGUGCACUGAUUGGCUUUAUUAGAAGAUAGGAGAGGGGUAAGCAAGGAGCUGAGGACCAUUCUCUCUGGUGGAAAAAGCCUACAUCAUUUCAAUCAAACUAUUUAGAGAAAUUGGUAUUACCCAAGGUGGCUCUGGGUUAAUUCGAUUAUUAUGGUCACUUACACUUCAUUUGAAAUCAAUUUAUGUUGCAUAAAGUAAAAUGUUUUUCUGAAAAUGAAAUACCAGAACAAUUCCUCAACACCUGAAGGUCAAAUUAUUAUAACAAAACAGUAUAUCAUAGUGUGUGGCCAUGUUGGUGUUGACAUUGGCCAAAAUUGAACAUGCGUUGGAGUUUGUUUGGGAAGUAUAGACAUUCAAGUGUAUCACGCAAACAAACCAAAUGUGUUAGCAGAUGCCAUCUUGUGGUCACUUAGAAACAGUGCUUUGUGAACAUACUAAGGAACAUUGAGCAAGCUGUGUAUAUCGACUACUACAGUAUGAACAUGCCAUAGUAGAGCCAGAGCUCAGUCAAUGACUUACACAUCAUUGCAAAAUGUUUUCUCUCUAUGGUCUAACUGCAUAUGACCUUAAAACAUAAAACACUGUACACAGCCCCCACUUCAAAUUAACUUUCCAUGACCAAUCAUUGUGCUAUAUUGAACAAUGAUAAAUUGAAGACAAUUGAAAACAAUGAAGUGUGAGGAUGUCAUUUUUUAAAGUUGGAAAAUAUAUUUAUCUGUGUAUAUAAAUAAACUUUCAAUAGUAA